rnacentral:rRNA from 1 species
GAUGAACGCUAGCGGCAGGCCUAAUACAUGCAAGUCGGACGGGAUUGGAGAGCUUGCUUUCCAUGAGAGUGGCGCACGGGUGCGUAACACGUAUGCAACCUACCUUUAUCAGGGGGAUAGCCUCUCGAAAGAGAGAUUAACACCGCAUAAAAUUAGUUUAUGGCAUCAUAAAUUGAUCAAAUAUUUAUAGGAUAAAGAUGGGCAUGCGGAACAUUAGCUAGUUGGUAAGGUAACGGCUUACCAAGGCGACGAUGUUUAGGGGAUCUGAGAGGAUGACCCCCCACACUGGUACUGAGACACGGACCAGACUCCUACGGGAGGCAGCAGUAAGGAAUAUUGGUCAAUGGGCGGAAGCCUGAACAAGCCAUGCCGCGUGCAGGAAGACGGCCCUACGGGUUGUAAACUGCUUUUGUACGGGAAUAAACCUUGAUACGUGUAUCAAGCUGAAUGUACCGUAAGAAUAAGGAUCGGCUAACUCCGUGCCAGCAGCCGCGGUAAGAC